GACAGAGGGGGCAAGCGUUGUCCGGAUUGACUGGGCGUACAGCGCGCGCAGGCGGCGGCGUAUGUGCCGUGUGACAGUCGGGAGCUUAACUCCCGCCGGCCACGGUAGACAGCGCGGCUGGAGGCAGGGAGAGGGAAGUGGAAUACCCGGUGGAGCGGUGAAAUGCGUAGAGAUCGGGUGGAACACCAGGGGCGCAGGCGACUUCCUGGCCCUGACCUGACGCUGAGGCGCGAGAGCGUGGGGAGCGGAACCGG
rnacentral:rRNA from 1 species